rnacentral:sRNA from 1 species
AGAAAAAACUGAUCCUGCUCUUGUUCAAGAUCAUGACUUCAGCUUCCUGUCUGGCACCCCACUGAGUACCACAGUUGACCAGGUUAGGCUGAGGAGUAGGGUGUCUCCUUCCUUUCCCACUGUCCCAUAUAUGUCCCUCCAGAAGCUGGGUGCUCUUUGGAAAGGGAUGUGCUUCUGUGAUGGAGGUGUCUGCUUUAGUAGAGUAGACAGAUGGCUGUCCUCCCGUUAGAUCCUUCACACCGGGUCUCAAGGUCCAAAUGCGACCAUGCAUAGCAUCCCAUUCAUGGUUAAUGAUUCCAAAUAAGAUAAAGCUGAGAUGCUGCCUAU